AGCAGACCGCGUGAUCACUUACAUUUAAAUAUUGACCUGUGUACGCCUAAUUACUGCCUGCACCUGCUCCCCACUAGGCCUGCAGGUGCGCCCACGCCUUCUACAUCUGCCCACACCUGCCAAAGGAAUGACUGAGAAGAAAGGAAGGAAGGAAGAGGAGGAAGGAAGGAAGGAAGGAAGGAAGGAAGGAAGGAAGAAAAGAGGACAAGAAGGAAGAGAAAAGGAGGACACUCUCUCUCUCUCUCUCUCUCUCUCUCUCUCUCUCUCUCUCUCUCUCUCUCUCUCUCUCUCUCUCUCUCUCACAGACCCACAGGAUGUCCCCCCACAGGAUGUUGACAAACCCCACAGUCACUCCCCUCAGCCCCUCUCUCUCUCUCUCUGUCUCUCACCUACCUUCAUGCCCAGAAUAGGAACCCUGUCAGUGCCCGUCAGGAACUUCAAAAACCACUUCUUCUGCUCCAGGGAGAGUUUGAAAUACUUCCCAGAACGUGCGUAUGACCGGGUGGUCUGGGAAACAUUCGCCCUGGAAACACCGACAGAAAUCAAUAAACGGAAGGAUAUUAGUGUGAA